GGGGGACCAUCCUCCAAGGCUAAAUACUCCUGACUGACCGAUAGUGAACCAGUACCGUGAGGGAAAGGCGAAAAGAACCCCGGCGAGGGGAGUGAAAAAGAACCUGAAACCGUGUACGUACAAGCAGUGGGAGCCCCACCACUAAGCCAGUGGUGAACUCACAUACGCAUCCUUUGCUGAAGGUGCGGUUAACGGAGCGCAAGCGACGUUCAACCUCAAAAGAAGCAGAGGGGGCUUAGUGGUGGGGUGACUGCGUACCUUUUGUAUAAUGGGUCAGCGACUUAUAUUCUGUAGCAAGGUUAACCGAAUAGGGAGCCGCA
rnacentral:rRNA from 1 species